rnacentral:rRNA from 1 species
UACGGGGGGGGGCAAGCGUUGUUCGGAAUCACUGGGCGUAAAGGGUGCGUAGGCGGCGCGGAAAGUCAGGGGUGAAAUCCCGGAGCUCAACUCCGGAACUGCCUUUAAGACUGCAUCGCUAGAAUUGUGGAGAGGUGAGUGGAAUUCCGAGUGUAGAGGUGAAAUUCGUAGAUAUUCGGAAGAACACCAGUGGCGAAGGCGACUCACUGGACACAUAUUGACGCUGAGGUGCGAAAGCGUGGGGAGCAAACAGG